UACGUAGGGUGCGAGCGUUGUCCGGAAUUAUUGGGCGUAAAGAGCUCGUAGGCGGUUUGUCGCGUCGGCCGUGAAAACUUGGGGCUUAACCCCGAGCCUGCGGUCGAUACGGGCAGACUUGAGUUCGGCAGGGGAGACUGGAAUUCCUGGUGUAGCGGUGAAAUGCGCAGAUAUCAGGAGGAACACCGGUGGCGAAGGCGGGUCUCUGGGCCGAUACUGACGCUGAGGCGCGAAAGCUAGGGGAGCAAACGGG
rnacentral:rRNA from 1 species